rnacentral:rRNA from 1 species
ACUGAAUAGAUACCCCGGUAGUCCACGCCCUAAACGAUGUCUACUAGUUGUCGGGGAUUCAUUUCCUUGGUAAACGCAGCUAAACGCGUGAAGUAGACCGCCUGGGGAGUACGGCCGCAAGGUUAAAACUCAAAGGAAUUGACGGGGACCCGCACAAGCGGUGGAUGAUGUGGAUUAAUUCGAUGCAACGCGAAAAACCUUACCUACGCUUGACAUGCCAGGAACUUUCCAGAGAUGGAUUGGUGCCCGAAAGGGAACCUGGACACAGGUGCUGCAUGGCUGUCGUCAGCUCGUGUCGUGAGAUGUUGGGUUAAGUCCCGCAACGAGCGCAACCCUUAUCCUUAGUUGCUACGCAAGGGCACUCUAGGGAGACUGCCGGUGACAAACCGGAGGAAGGUGGGGAUGACGUCAAGUCCUCAUGGCCCUUAUGUGUAGGGCUUCACACGUCAUACAAUGGUCGGUACAGAGGGUCGCAACCCGCGAGGGGUAGCCAAUCCCAGAAAACCCGAUCGUAGUCCGGAUUGCAGUCUGCAACUCGACUGC